GCCGAAGUGGUGAAACUGGUAGACACGCAGGUUUUAGGAACCUGUGCCGUAAGGCUUGGAGGUUCGAGUCCUCUCUUCGGCA
rnacentral:tRNA from 1 species